CAGAUGCAGUGAUGAUGGCAUAGUUCAGCAGAGUAUCCUGUGACGAACAACUUUGUCUUUCGCUCCUAUCUGAUGUAUCUA